rnacentral:rRNA from 1 species
UUAAGCUAAUAAGAGCGCAGGGAGGAUGCCUUGGCAUCAGGAGCCGAAGAAGGACGUGGUAAGCUGCGAAAAGCUACGGGGAUUGGCAAGCACGAUAUGAUCCGUAGAUGUCCGAAUGGAGCAAUCCACAUGGAGUCAAGUCCAUGUAUCAUAUACUGAAUAAAUAGGUAUAUGAGGGGAACCGCCCGAACUGAAACAUCUAAGUAGGGCGAGGAAAAGAAAUCAACCGAGAUUCUGUGAGUAGUGGCGAGCGAAAGCGGAAGAGGCUAAACCGAGAGGAGCAAUCCUUUCGGGGUUUAGGACUGCAUUUAGUACAACGAUUGUUAACCGAACAGCAUGGGAAGGCUGAUCAGAGAAGGUGAGAAUCCUGUAGGUGAAAACGAAAGGUGACGAGCAGUAUCCAAAGUACCGCGGGGCACGUGAAAUCCCGUGGGAAGAUGGGGGGACCAUCCUCCAAGCCUAAAUACUACCUGAUGACCGAUAGCGAAUAGUACUGUGAAGGAAAGGUGAAAAGCACCCCGGGAGGGGAGUGAAAGAGAACCUGAAACCCUGUGCUUACAAGCACUUAGAGCACGUCAAAGUGUGAUAAGGUACCUAUUGUAGAAUGGUCCGGCGAGUUAUUGUAUGCAGCGAGGUUAAGUAGUUCAGCUACGGAGCCGAAGUGAGAGCGAGUGUUAACAGCACGUUCAGUUGUAUGCAAUAGACCCGAAACCGGGUGACCUAUCCAUGUCCAGGAUGAAGUGAGGGUAAAACCUCAUGGAGGUCCGAACCCACUCCCGUUGAAAUGGUAGGGGAUGAGGUGUGGAUAGCGGAGAAAUUCCAAUCGAACCCGGAUAUAGCUGGUUCUCCCCGAAAUAGUUUUAGGACUAGCCUCGUGAUUAAGAUUAUCGGAGGUAAAGCACUGAAUGGCCUAGGGGUCGAGAGAUUACCGAAGCCUAUCAAACUCUGAAUGCCGAAUAAUCAUGCACGGGAGUCAGACUGUGUGAGAUAAGUUUCAUAGUCGAAAGGGAAACAGCCCAGACCUACAGCUAAGGUCCCAAAGUACGUUUAAGUGGAAAACGAUGUGAAAUUGCGUAGACAACCAGGAUGUUGGCUUAGAAGCAGCCAUACAUUAAAAGAGUGCGUAAUAGCUCACUGGUCGAGUGACUUUGCGCGGAAAAUUUAACGGGGCUAAAACGUACACCGAAGCUUAGGCUUGCAACUAUGUUGCAGGGGUAGGGGAGCGUUGAAUGAGGGGUGAAGUCGUAGCGAAAGCGACGGUGGACUUCAUUCAAGUGAGAAUGCCGGAAUGAGUAGCGAGAAUUAUGUGAGAAUCAUAAUGGCCGAAAGCCUAAGGUUUUUGGAGGAAGGUUCGUCCGCUCCAAGUAAGUCGGAAGCUAAGGUGAGGCUGAAAAGCGUAGCCGAUGCACAAACGGUUGAAAUUCCGUUACCACAGAAAGAUUUAAACUAAGGGACACUUUUGAAGAGCUGAUGCCGGGUGUUGGUUACCCCGGUCGUAAGGGAACGAAAUUAAGUAGUGAAGUCAGCGUGGAUGAAGGCGAGAAAAGCUUAGUGUAUAUCUUAUGUGUCCGUACCGCAAACCGACACAGGUAGGUAGGAAGAGAAUUCUAAGGCCAACGGGAGAAGGGUAGUUAAGGAACUCGGCAAAAUGUCCCCGUAACUUCGGAAUAAGGGGAGGUUUCUACGGAAACCCGCAGAGAAUAGUCCCAGGCAACUGUUUAUCAAAAACACAGCUCUAUGCUAAAUCGAAAGAUGACGUAUAUGGGGUGACGCCUGCCCGGUGCCGGAAGGUUAAGAGGAGGAGUGAGAGCCCUGAAUCGAAGCCCCGGUAAACGGCGGCCGUAACUAUAACGGUCCUAAGGUAGCGAAAUUCCUUGUCAGGUAAGUUCUGACCCGCACGAAUGGCGUAAUGAUCUGGGAGCUGUCUCAACUGCCCGCCCGGCGAAAUUGUAGUACCGGUGAAGAUGCCGGUUACCCGCGACUAGACGGAAAGACCCCAUGGAGCUUUACUGUAGCUUAAUAUUGGAUUUCGGCAUUUCAUGUACAGGAUAGGUGGGAGACUAGGAAACAUAGGCGUCAGCUUAUGCGGAGUCGUCCUUGGGAUACCACUCUUGGAGUGCUGAAAUUCUAACCUGCAGCCCUGAAUCGGGUUGGGGGACAUUGUUAGGUGGGCAGUUUGACUGGGGCGGUCGCCUCCAAAAAGGUAACGGAGGCGCUCAAAGGUUGGCUCAGCAUGGAUGGAAAC